UGAGGGAAUCUUCCACAAUGGACGCAAGUCUGAUGGAGCAACGCCGCGUGAGUGAAGAAGGUUUUCGGACCGUAAAGCUCUGUUGUUGGUGAAGAAGGAUAGAGGUAGUAACGGCCUUUAUUUGACGGUAAUCAACCAGAAAGUCACGGCUAACUACUGCCAGCAGCCGCGGUAAUACGUAGGUGGCAAGCGUUGUCCGGAUUAUUGGGCGUAAAGCGAGCGCAGGCGGA
rnacentral:rRNA from 1 species